rnacentral:rRNA from 1 species
GGAGGGGGAUAACUACUGGAAACGGUAGCUAAUACCGCAUAACGUCGCAAGACCAAAGAGGGGGACCUUCGGGCCUCUUGCCAUCGGAUGUGCCCAGAUGGGAUUAGCUAGUAGGUGGGGUAACGGCUCACCUAGGCGACGAUCCCUAGCUGGUCUGAGAGGAUGACCAGCCACACUGGAACUGAGACACGGUCCAGACUCCUACGGGAGGCAGCAGUGGGGAAUAUUGCACAAUGGGCGCAAGCCUGAUGCAGCCAUGCCGCGUGUAUGAAGAAGGCCUUCGGGUUGUAAAGUACUUUCAGCGGGGAGGAAGGGAGUAAAGUUAAUACCUUUGCUCAUUGACGUUACCCGCAGAAGAAGCACCGGCUAACUCCGUGCCAGCAGCCGCGGUGAUACGGAGGGUGCAAGCGUUAAUCGGAAUUACUGGGCGUAAAGCGCACGCAGGCGGUUUGUUAAGUCAGAUGUGAAAUCCCCGGGCUCAACCUGGGAACUGCAUCUGAUACUGGCAAGCUUGAGUCUCGUAGAGGGGGGUAGAAUUCCAGGUGUAGCGGUGAAAUGCGUAGAGAUCUGGAGGAAUACCGGUGGCGAAGGCGGCCCCCUGGACGAAGACUGACGCUCAGGUGCGAAAGCGUGGGGAGCAAACAGGAUUAGAUACCCUGGUAGUCCACGCCGUAAACGAUGUCGACUUGGAGGUUGUGCCCUUGAGGCGUGGCUUCCGGAGCUAACGCGUUAAGUCGACCGCCUGGGGAGUACGGCCGCAAGGUUAAAACUCAAAUGAAUUGACGGGGGCCCGCACAAGCGGUGGAGCAUGUGGUUUAAUUCGAUGCAACGCGAAGAACCUUACCUGGUCUUGACAUCCACAGAACUUUCCAGAGAUGGAUUGGUGCCUUCGGGAACUGUGAGACAGGUGCUGCAUGGCUGUCGUCAGCUCGUGUUGUGAAAUGUUGGGUUAAGUCCCGCAACGAGCGCAACCCUUAUCUUUUGUUGCCAGCGGUCCGGCCGGGAACUCAAAGGAGACUGCCAGUGAUAAACUGGAGGAAGGUGGGGAUGACGUCAAGUCAUCAUGGCCCUUACGACCAGGGCUACACACGUGCUACAAUGGCGCAUACAAAGAGAAGCGACCUCGCGAGAGCAAGCGGACCUCAUAAAGUGCGUCGUAGUCCGGAUUGGAGUCUGCAACUCGACUCCAUGAAGUCGGAAUCGCUAGUAAUCGUGGAUCAGAAUGCCACGGUGAAUACGUUCCCGGGCCUUGUACACACCGCCCGUCACACCAUGGGAGUGGGUUGCAAAAGAAGUAGGUAGCUUAACCUUCGGGAGGGCGCUUACCACUUUGUGAUUCAUGACUGGGGUGAAGUCGAAACAAGGUAACCGUAGGGGAACCUGCGGUUG